AUGAUGGAGGCGGGGGGAGGGGGAGGAGGGUUCAGGGACGAGCGGGUGCCGCAGUGGGGCGUGCAGGAGACGCGGGAGCUCAUCGCGGCGCGCGGGGACCUGGAGCGGGAGGCCGCCGCGGGGCGCAGCGCCAAGACGCUCUGGGAGGCGGUGGCGGACGCGCUCCGGGCGCGCGGGUACCGCCGCACCGCCGAUCAGUGCAAGUGCAAGUGGAAGAACCUCGUCAACAGAUACAAGGUACGUAUAGUGUACGCCCUUCCUGCCGCAGCUCCCUAG
rnacentral:rRNA from 1 species